rnacentral:rRNA from 1 species
AGAUGGGAGCUUGCUCCCUGAUGUUAGCGGCGGACGGGUGAGUAACACGUGGGUAACCUGCCUGUAAGACUGGGAUAACUCCGGGAAACCGGGGCUAAUACCGGAUGCUUGAUUGAACCGCAUGGUUCAAUUAUAAAAGGUGGCUUUUAGCUACCACUUACAGAUGGACCCGCGGCGCAUUAGCUAGUUGGUGAGGUAACGGCUCACCAAGGCAACGAUGCGUAGCCGACCUGAGAGGGUGAUCGGCCACACUGGGACUGAGACACGGCCCAGACUCCUACGGGAGGCAGCAGU